AUUGAACGCUGGCGGAAUGCUUUACACAUGCAAGUCGAACGGCAGCACGGGGGCAACCAUGGUGGCGAGUGGCGAACGGGUGAGUAAUACAUCGGAACGUGCCCAGUCGUGGGGGAUAACGUAGCGAAAGUUACGAUACUAACGCAUACGACCUACGGAUGAAAGCGGGGGACCGUAAGGCCUCGCGCGAAUGGAGCGGCCGAUGUCAGACUAGGUAGUUGGUGUGGUAAAGGCUCACCAAGCCGACGAUCUGUAGCCGGUCUGAGAGGACGACCAGCCACACUGGGACUGGGACUCGGCCCCGACUCCUACUGGAGGCAGCUGUGGGGAAUUUUUUACAAUGGGCGCAAGCCUGAUCCAGCCAUUCCGCGUGCAGGACGAAGUCCUUCGGGUUGUAAACUUCUUUUGUACGGAACGAAAAGGCUCUGGUUAAUACCUGGGGCUCAUGACGGUACCGUAAGAAUAAGCACCGGCUAACUACGUGCCAGCAGCCGCCGUAA
rnacentral:rRNA from 1 species